CCGAUGGACGUAAUUUGGGCUGAGAUGGACGCAAGCCUGAUCCAGUCCAGUCCAUGCCGCGUGCAGGAUGAAGGCCUUCGGGUUGUAAACUGCUUUUGUCCGGAACGAAAAGGUCUCUUCUAAUAUAAGGGGCUCCUGACGGUACCGUGACAGAAUAAGCACCGGCUAACAUACGUG
rnacentral:rRNA from 1 species